rnacentral:tRNA from 1 species
GGCUUCGUGGUGUAGCGGUUAGCACUCUGAACUUUGAAUACAGUGACCCGGGUUAGAGUAUCGGCGAGGCUG